rnacentral:rRNA from 1 species
AGUGAACGCUGGCGGUAGGCCUAACACAUGCAAGUCGAACGGCAGCACAGUAAUAGCUUGCUCUUACGGGUGGCGAGUGGCGGACGGGUGAGGAAUACAUCGGAAUCUACUUUUUCGUGGGGGAUAACGUAGGGAAACUUACGCUAAUACCGCAUACGACCUACGGGUGAAAGCAGGGGAUCUUCGGACCUUGCGCGAUUGAAUGAGCCGAUGUCGGAUUAGCUAGUUGGCGGGGUAAAGGCCCACCAAGGCGACGAUCAGUAGCUGGUCUGAGAGGAUGAUCAGCCACACUGGAACUGAGACACGGUCCAGACUCCUACGGGAGGCAGAAGUGGGGAAUAUUGGACAAUGGGCGCAAGCCUGAUCCAGCCAUACCGCGUGGGUGAAGAAGGCCUUCGGGUUGUAAAGCCCUUUUGUUGGGAAAGAAAAGCAGCAGGUUAAUACCCCGCUGUUCUGACGGUACCCAAAGAAUAAGCACCGGCUAACUUCGUG